rnacentral:rRNA from 1 species
GAUGAACGCUAGCGACAGGCCUAACACAUGCAAGUCGAGGGGCAGCACGGUGUAGCAAUACACGGGUGGCGACCGGCGCACGGGUGAGUAACGCGUAUGCAACCUGCCUACUACAAGGGGAUAACCCGUUGAAAGACGGACUAAUACCCUAUAACACAGGGAAUCCGCAUGGAUAUAUUUGUUAAAGAUUUAUCGGUAGUAGAUGGGCAUGCGUUCCAUUAGCUUGUUGGUGAGGUAACGGCUCACCAAGGCAACGAUGGAUAGGGGAACUGAGAGGUUGAUCCCCCACACUGGAACUGAGACACGGUCCAGACUCCUACGGGAGGCAGCAGUGAGGAAUAUUGGUCAAUGGACGAGAGUCUGAACCAGCCAAGUCGCGUGAAGGAGACGGCCCUACGGGUUGUAACUUCUUUGUAAGGGAAUAAAUAGUCUUACGCGCUAAGACGUUGCAGGUACCUUACGAAUAAGGAUCGGCUAACUCCGUGCCAGCAGCCGACGGUAAAAGUGU